rnacentral:rRNA from 1 species
CAAUAGCGUAUAUUUAAGUUGUUGCAGUUAAAAAGCUCGUAGUUGGAUUUCGGGUGGGACGCAGCGGUCUCGCAUUGCGUUUGUACUGCUGCAGCCCUCCUUCUUGCCGGGGGCGGCCUCUCGGACUUCACUGUCUGGGGGUCAGAAUCGGCGAUGUUACUUUGAGUAAAUUAGAGUGUUCAAAGCAAGCUUACGCUCUGAAUAUAAUAGCAUGGGAUAACACGACAGGACUCUGGCCUAUCGUGUUGGUCUAUAGGACCAGAGUAAUGAUUAAGAGGGACAGUCGGGGGCAUUCGUAUUCCGUUGUCAGAGGUGAAAUUCUUGGAUUUGCGGAAGACGAACAUCUGCGAAAGCAUUUGCCAAGGAUGUUUUCAUUGA